GCCAGGUGUGGUGGUGCACGCCUGUAGUCCCAGCUCCUUGGGAGGCUGAGGCAGGAGGAUUGCUUGAGCCUAGGAGUUCAAGGCUGCAGUGAGCUAUGAUUGCACCACUGCACUCCAGCCUGGGCAACAGAGCAAGAACCUAUCUCUA
rnacentral:SRP_RNA from 1 species